GACGAACGCUGGCGGCGUGCCUAACACAUGCAAGUCGAGCGAACAGACGAGGAGCUUGCUCCUCUGACGUUAUAGGCGGACGGGUGAGUAACAUGUGGAUAACCUACCUCUAAGACUGGGAUAACAUCGGGAAACCGUGGCUAAUACCGGAUAAUAUAUUGAAUCGCAUUGUUCAAUAGUUAAAGACGGUAUUGCUGACACUAAUAGAUGACUACGCGCCGCAUUAGCUAGUUGGUAAGGUAACGGCUUACCAAGGCAACGAUGCGUAGCCGACCUGAGAGGGUGCUCGGCCACACUGGAACUGAGGCACGGUCCAGACUCCUGCGGGAGGCAGCAGUAGGGAAUCUUUCGGAAUGGGCGAAAGGGUGACGGAGGAACGCCGCGUGAGUGAUGAAGGUCUUCGGAUCGUAAAACUCUGUUAUUAGGGAGGAACAAAUGUGUCAUUAACUAGGCACGUCUUGACAGUACCGGAUCAGAAAGCCCCGGCUAACUACGUG
rnacentral:rRNA from 1 species